UACGAAGGGUGCAAGCGUUACUCGGAAUUACUGGGCGUAAAGCGUGCGUAGGUGGUGAGUUAAGUCUGAUGUGAAAUCCCCGGGCUCAACCUGGGAAUGGCAUUGGAUACUGGCUCGCUAGAGUGCGGUAGAGGGUGGUGGAAUUCCCGGUGUAGCAGUGAAAUGCGUAGAGAUCGGGAGGAACAUCUGUGGCGAAGGCGGCCACCUGGAUCAACACUGACACUGAGGCACGAAAGCGUGGGGAGCAAACAGG
rnacentral:rRNA from 1 species